UACGAAGGGGGCUAGCGUUGCUCGGAAUCACUGGGCGUAAAGCGCACGUAGGCGGCUUUUUAAGUCAGGGGUGAAAUCCUGGAGCUCAACUCCAGAACUGCCCUUGAUACUGAGGAGCUUGAGUCCGGGAGAGGUGAGUGGAACUGCGAGUGUAGAGGUGAAAUUCGUAGAUAUUCGCAAGAACACCAGUGGCGAAGGCGGCUCACUGGCCCGGUACUGACGCUGAGGUGCGAAAGCGUGGGGAGCAAACAGG
rnacentral:rRNA from 1 species